GACGAACGCUGGCGGCGUGCUUAACACAUGCAAGUCGAACGGAAAGGCCCUGCUUUUGUGGGGUGCUCGAGUGGCGAACGGGUGAGUAACACGUGAGUAACCUGCCCUUGACUUUGGGAUAACUUCAGGAAACUGGGGCUAAUACCGGAUAGGAGCUCCUGCUGCAUGGUGGGGGUUGGAAAGUUUCGGCGGUUGGGGAUGGACUCGCGGCUUAUCAGCUUGUUGGUGGGGUAGGGGCUUACCAAGGCUUUGACGGGUAGCCGGCCUGAGAGGGUGACCGGCCACAUUGGGACUGAGAUACGGCCCAGACUCCUACGGGAGGCAGCAGUGGGGAAUAUUGCACAAUGGGCGGAAGCCUGAUGCAGCAACGCCGCGUGCGGGAUGACGGCCUUCGGGUUGUAAACCGCUUUCGCCUGUGACGAAGCGUAAGUGACGGUAAUGGGAGAAGAAGCACCGGCUAACUACGUG
rnacentral:rRNA from 1 species